rnacentral:tRNA from 1 species
AGGAGUAUAGUUAUAUUAAUAAUAUUUAAUUUGCAAUUAAAAGAAGCCUGAUAGCUACUCUUA